UUUGUUCCACAUAAUUUUUUACUUAAAAGAUUUUCAUUGAAAUUUGAUAUUAAAAUUCCUCUAAAAAAAUAAUAUUACAUUAAACUCAAUAUUCUUUUUUUUACCACAAAUAAGACUUUUAAUGAACAUCCUAUUGAAUUUUCACGCAUUUCUGUUUAAUUUAACAAUUGUAUGGAGGGCUAUAAUUUGUUGGAAAGUAUUUUGUUGUUACUAUAUUAUACUGGAAAAAUUAAUUUAUGCAGAUGACAUCGGUAUUGUAAAGCAGGGAAAAACAUUUGAAGAAAUAAAGUAUAAUCUUGGUAAAGAUCUCGCAAAAAUUCAAAAAUAUUUAAAAACCUGGUAUCUUAUUCUGAAUGCUAGUAAGUNGUGAAUGGGGAAGUUAUACCAAAUGAAGACUUCCCCAGAUACCUAGGAGUAAAGUUGGACAGAGCCCUUACUUUCAAACCUCACCUGGAAGGUCUAAAAAAUAAAUUAAAAACGCGGAAUAACAUAAUAUCAAAACUAGCAGGUAC